GCCUGGGUGGCUCAGUCAGUUAAGCAUCUGACUUUAGCUCAGGUCAUGAUCUCACAGUUUGUGAGUUCGAGCCCCGCAUCAGGCU
rnacentral:tRNA from 1 species